rnacentral:misc_RNA from 1 species
GUGAAUCAUCGAAUUUUUGAACGCAAAUUGCGCUUCCUGGCAUCCCGGGGAGUAUGCCUGUUUGAGGGUCAGAAUUUAUAAAAAGUCGGUUUAGUUACAAAUUGUGACGUUUCCGGAGUUUGGUCUAUCUUAACAUUUUUGGUUAAGAGGCUUAAAAUUGACCUUUUUGCGUAUUUUUUUACGUAAAUUAAUUUUUUUUAUUCGUCUAUUCUUAAUGCUAAAAUCUUAUUAGCUUCGAUCACAUCGUGUGGCUUCGUUUCCA